GGGAGUAUGACUCAGUGGUAGAGCAUUCGACUGUAGAUCGAGAGGUCACCAGUUCAAACCCGGUUUUUCUCC
rnacentral:tRNA from 1 species